rnacentral:rRNA from 1 species
UAGGGAAUCUUCCGCAAUGGACGCAAGUCUGACGGAGCAACGCCGCGUGAGUGAUGAAGGUUUUCGGAUCGUAAAGCUCUGUUGCCAAGGAAGAACGCCUUGGAGAGUAACUGCUCUGAGGGUGACGGUACUUGAGAAGAAAGCCCCGGCUAACUACGUGCCAGCAGCCGCGGUAAUACGUAGGGGGCAAGCGUUGUCCGGAAUUAUUGGGCGUAAAGCGCGCGCAGGCGGCCGCUUAAGUUUGGUGUUUAAGCCCGGGGCUCAACCCCGGUUCGCACCGAAAACUGGGCGGCUUGAGUGCAGGAGAGGAAAGCGGAAUUCCACGUGUAGCGGUGAAAUGCGUAGAGAUGUGGAGGAACACCAGUGGCGAAGGCGGCUUUCUGGACUGUAACUGACGCUG